ACUCCUGCGGGAGGCAGCAGUGGGGAAUUUUGGACAAUGGGCGAAAGCCUGAUCCAGCCAUGCCGCGUGCAGGAUGAAGGCCUUCGGGUUGUAAACUGCUUUUGUACGGAACGAAACGGCCUUUUCUAAUAAAGAGGGCUAAUGACGGUACCGUAAGAAUAAGCACCGGCUAACUACGUGCCAGCAGCCGCGGUAAUACGUAGGGUGCAAGCGUUAAUCGGAAUUACUGGGCGUAAAGCGUGCGCAGGCGGUUAUGUAAGACAGUUGUGAAAUCCCCGGGCUCAACCUGGGAACUGCAUCUGUGACUGCAUAGCUAGAGUACGGUAGAGGGGGAUGGAAUUCCGCGUGUAGCAGUGAAAUGCGUAGAUAUGCGGAGGAACACCGAUGGCGAAGGCAAUCCCCUGGACCUGUACUGACGCUCAUGCACGAAAGCGUGGGGAGCAAACAGGAUUAGAAACCCCGGUAGUCC
rnacentral:rRNA from 1 species